AGCCAAGUACAUGCUAACAGUGCUCCACCUGUGAUGGUGGACGAGCAAAGUUGUAAACCCACCCCCACCCUCAAAGAUGUUUGGAACUUAGAAGUGCAUUGGGUCCUCUUCAUAGUGUGAUGUGCUUUAAGAAAAAAGGAAACAGGGAAUCCAGCAGAAUCUUGGAAUAAGGUGAAAUUUUUGAACUUGGAAUAACUUUCUCUCAACCCUAGGAAGAAAACAGCAAGGGCAAACCACUUCUGAAAUCUUGCCAAGAAAACUGCAGAGACUUGUUGCUAGGAUUCAAGACUCAAAGGCAUACACAUACAGACAACAUUUCUAUGCAACUUCCUCCUCAGACCUUUCCACAGAAAGGUGGAGACUUUUCUACAAGUUCAAAAGCAGAUCUGAUUAAUAGUGACAAUAACUGACAAUUGAGACAAUUUAUUUUUUAUUUUGCUUUUUGCUUUUUGUAAUGUCAAAUUCUACAGAGCUUGUGGGCAGGUUGUUUUCCAUUAGAAGAACAAAGAAUAAAGAAUAAUAGGGUUGGAAGAGAACUUGUAGGUCUAAUCCAACCACGUGCUCAAGCAAGAGGCACUAUUUUGGACAAAUGGCUGUCCAGUGUCUUCUUGAAAUCCUCUAGUGAUGGAGGGCAUCCACAACUGCUGGUGGCAAACUAUUCCAUUGAUUAAUUCUUCUCACCAUCAAGAAAUUUCUCCUUAGUUCUAGAUUGGAUCUCUCUCUAACGAUCUUCUAUCCAUUACUACUUGUCCUGCCCUCAAGUGCUUGGAGAAUAGGUCAACUCUGUCUUCUCUGUGGCAACCCCUCAAGCACUGGAAGAUGCGAACUUAUUGCUGCAGUCCUUCUCUUCAUAAGACGAGAUAUACUUAGUUGCCUCAAUUGUUCAUCAUAUGGUUUAGCCGCUAGACCCCUUAUAUUUGUUGCUUUUAUUCUUUCUAGAAUCUCAUCUUUUUUGUAUCUUAGCACCUGGAACUGGAUGCAAUAUUCCAAGUGUAGUCUCAUCAGUGCAAUAUAAAGCAGUAUUAUUACUUCAUGUGAUCCUAAAAUUAUCCCUCUUGAUGCAACCUAAGAUUGCAUUAGCUUUUCUGGGAGCUGCUGAACACUGCUGGUUCAAAACUGACUGGUGAUCUACUAGGACACCUAGAUCUCUUUCAUCUUCUCUUCUACCACCUGAGUUUCAGCAGUCUGAGUUUAUAUAUACAAUAUUCUGUUGUUGACGUCUGGUGGUCUUACGAAUUUUUACAACCCACAAGUGUCUGCCCAAUUAAUUUUAGUGCCACCAACUAGAAACUAAGCAUUUUGUUCAGAACUUACUAUAUCUUCUCAAUGUCAGUCACCAUUCCAGUUCUGAACAAUAUUGAGAAAAAUGCUUGGGUGUAAAACUGAUGAAGACAUUAUGUCAAUGGCACAACACUCAAUGGAAUUUUUAAUUAAGGAAGAAUUACGAUUUGAUAGUCAGGCAGCUUCAUCUUAUUACCAAUACUCCAAAUAAUCCAAACAAAUGCAUACAGCAUGUAUUGGAAAAAGGUAUGGAAAGACAAUAGCCAUUCAUUACAUUUCCCUUUGGUUAUGGGAUUUUUAUUGUUGCUUUAGGAAUAGCAACUAGUGUUGGCUUGGAAUACUUGUUCACUUACUUUUUGUAAGCUCCUACUGGUCAGCCAGAGGGAGAAUGCAGAUUGGUUCAUUAUGUUCUCAGCAUUCCAGGAGUGAAUAAAGUUGGCAAGUUUGCUGCAAGCUGCUUUUGAG